AUUGAACGCUGGCGGCAUGCCUUACACAUGCAAGUCGAACGGCAGCAUGGAGAGCUUGCUCUCUGAUGGCGAGUGGCGAACGGGUGAGUAAAGCAUCGGAACGUACCGUGUAGUGGGGGAUAACGCAGCGAAAGUUACGCUAAUACCGCAUACGCACUGAGGUGGAAAGCAGGGGAUCGCAAGACCUUGCGCUAUACGAGCGGCCGAUGUCAGAUUAGCUAGUUGGUAGGGUAAAGGCCUACCAAGGCGACGAUCUGUAGCGGGUCUGAGAGGAUGAUCCGCCACACUGGGACUGAGACACGGCCCAGACUCCUACGGGAGGCAGCAGUGGGGAAUUUUGGACAAUGGGGGAAACCCUGAUCCAGCCAUGCCGCGUGAGUGAAGAAGGCCUUCGGGUUGUAAAGCUCUUUCGGCUGGGAAGAAAUCGCACAGGCUAAUACCCUGUGUGGAUGACGGUACCAGCAUAAGAAGCACCGGCUAACUACGUGCCAGCCGCCGCCGUAAAAC
rnacentral:rRNA from 1 species